rnacentral:rRNA from 1 species
ACUAUGAUGUGUAGCUGGACUGAGAGGUUGAACAGCCACAUUGGGACUGAGACACGGCCCAAACUCCUACGGGAGGCAGCAGUAGGGAAUUUUCGGCAAUGGAGGAAACUCUGACCGAGCAACGCCGCGUGAACGAUGAAGUAUUUCGGUAUGUAAAGUUCUUUUAUUGAAGAAGAAAAAAUAGUGGAAAAACUAUCUUGACGAUAUUCAAUGAAUAAGCCCCGGCAAACUAUGUGCCAGCAGCCGCGGUAAUACAUAGGGGGCGAGCGUUAUCCGGAAUUAUUGGGCGUAAAGGGUGCGUAGGCGGUUUAAUAAGUCUAUAGUUUAAUUUCAGUGCUUAACACUGUCCUGCUAUAGAAACUAUUAGACUAGAGUGAGAUAGAGGCAAGUGGAAUUCCAUGUGUAGCGGUAAAAUGCGUAAAUAUAUGGAGGAACACCAGAGGCGUAGGCGGCUUGCUGGGUCUUUACUGACGCUGAGGCACGAAAGCGUGGGGAGCAAACAGGAUUAGAUACCCUGGUAGUCCACGCCGUAAACGAUGAGUACUAAGUGUCGGGAUUACUCGGUACUGAAGUUAACACAUUAAGUACUCCGCCUGAGUAGUACGUACGCAAGUAUGAAACUUAAAGGAAUUGACGGGACUCCGCACAAGCGGUGGAUCAUGUUGUUUAAUUCGAAGAUACACGAAAAACCUUACCAGGUCUUGACAUACUCUGCAAAGCUAUAGCAAUAUAGUGGAGGUUAUCAGGGAUACAGGUGGUGCAUGGUUGUCGUCAGCUCGUGUCGUGAGAUGUUAGGUUAAGUCCUAAAACGAGCGCAACCCUUGUCAUUAGUUGCCAGCAUGUCAUGAUGGGCACUUUAAUGAGACUGCCAAUGAAAAAUUGGAGGAAGGUGAGGAUCACGUCAAAUCAUCAUGCCCC